GACGAACGCUGGCGGCGUGCUUAACACAUGCAAGUCGAACGGAAAGGCCCUGCUUUUGUUGGGUGCUCGAGUGGCGAACGGGUGAGUAACACGUGAGUAACCUGCCCUUGACUUUGGGAUAACUUCAGGUAACUGGGGCUAAUACCGGAUAGGAGCUCCUGCUGCUUGGUGGGGGUUGGUAAGUUUCGGCGGUUGGGGAUGGACUCGCGGCUUAUCAGCUUGUUGGUGGGGUAGUGGCUUACCAAGGCUUUGACGGGUAGCCGGCCUGAGAGGGUGACCGGCCACAGUGGGACUGAGAUACGGCCCAGACUCCUACGGGAGGCAGCAGUGGAGGAUAGUGCACGAUGGGCGGAAGCCGUAUGCAGCAACGCCGCGUGGGGGAUGACGGCCUUCGGGGUGUAAACCGCUUUCGCCUGUGACGAAGCGUGAGUGACGGUAAUGGGUAAAGAAGCACCGGCUAACUACGUG
rnacentral:rRNA from 1 species